rnacentral:tRNA from 1 species
GAAACAAUAGUUCAAAGAGAAUUUAUGAUUUGCAUUCAUAAGAUGUAAUUAUUUACUUGUUUCA